rnacentral:rRNA from 1 species
UACGGAGGGGGCUAGCGUUGUUCGGAAUGACUGGGCGUAAAGCGCGCGUAGGCGGAUCUUUAAGUCAGGGGUGAAAUCCCAAGGCUCAACCUUGGAACUGCCUUUGAUACUGGGGAUCUCGAGUCCGGAAGAGGUGAGUGGAACUGCGAGUGUAGAGGUGAAAUUCGUAGAUAUUCGCAAGAACACCAGUGACGAAGGCGGCUCACUGGUCCGGUACUGACGCUGAGGUGCGAAAGCGUGGGGAGCAAACAGG